UACAGAGGUCUCAAGCGUUGUUCGGAUUCAUUGGGCGUAAAGGGUGCGUAGGCGGCGCGGUAAGUCGGGGUGUGAAAUCUUGGAGCUUAACUCCGAAACUGCAUUCGAUACUGCCGUGCUUGAGGACUGGAGAGGAGACUGGAAUUUACGGUGUAGCGGUGAAAUGCGUAGAUAUCGUAAGGAAGACCAGUGGCGAAGGCGGGUCUCUGGACAGUUCCUGACGCUGAGGCACGAAGGCCCAGGGGGAGCAAAACGGG
rnacentral:rRNA from 1 species